CUUGGGGCUUGUUCGAAGACCAUUUUAAUGAUACCGAAGUAAUUGAAUGGUUCAAAACAAAAUUAGCCCAGAUCAAUCUUUGUUUCGACGGUCACUGGUUGUCUUGAAUUUUGUGGCAGCACCAGUAACUUUACGUUCAAUAACAAAA